CCUACGGGAGGCAGCAGUGGGGAAUAUUGCACAAUGGGGGAAACCCUGAUGCAGCGACACCGCGUGAGUGAAGAAGUAUUUCGGUACGUAAAGCUCUAUCAGCAGGGAAGAAAAUGACGGUACCUGACUAAGAAGCCCCGGCUAACUACGUGCCAGCAACCGCGGUAAUACGUAGGGGGCAAGCGUUAUCCGGAUUUACUGGGUGUAAAGGGAGCGUAGACGGCAGCGCAAGUCUGGAGUGAAAUCCCAUGGCUUAACCAUGGAACUGCUUUGGAAACUGUGCAGCUAGAGUGCAGGAGAGGUAAGCGGAAUUCCUAGUGUAGCGGGGAAAUGCGUAGAUAUUAGGAGGAACACCAGUGGCGAAGGCGGCUUACUGGACUGUAACUGACGUUGAGGCUCGAAAGCGUGGGGAGCAAACAGGAUUAGAUACCCGAGUAGUC
rnacentral:rRNA from 1 species